UACAGAGGGGGCAAGCGUUAUUCGGAAUUAUUGGGCGUAAAGCGCGCGUAGGCGGACCUGCAAGUCGGGGGUGAAAGCCCGAGGCUCAACCUCGGAACUGCCUUCGAUACUGCGGGUCUCGAGUCCGGGAGAGGUGAGUGGAAUUCCUAGUGUAGAGGUGAAAUUCGUAGAUAUUAGGAAGAACACCAGUGGCGAAGGCGGCUCACUGGCCCGUUUCUGACGCUGCAGCGCGAAAGCGUGGGGAUCAAACAGG
rnacentral:rRNA from 1 species